rnacentral:rRNA from 1 species
GGAGCUAAUCCCUUAAAGCUACUCUCAGUUCGGAUUGUAGGCUGAAACUCGCCUACAUGAAGCUGGAGUUACUAGUAAUCGCAGAUCAGAAUGCUGCGGUGAAUGCGUUCCCGGGUCUUGUACACACCGCCCGUCACACCACGGGAGUUGGAGACGCCCGAAGCCGAUUAUCUAACCUUUUGGAAGAAGUCGUCGAAGGGGGAAUCAAUAACUGGGGUGAAGUCGUAACAAGGUAGCCGUAUCGGAAGGUGCGGCUGGAUCACCUCCUUUCUAAGGAGA